UGACGUAUAGCUCAGUUGGUUAGAGCGUCACACUGAUAUUGUGAAAGUCGGCAGUUCGAGUCUGUCUACGUCAA
rnacentral:tRNA from 1 species